rfam:Gossypium hirsutum cultivar TM-1 chromosome 15, whole genome shotgun sequence
AGCCCAUGGUGAGGACACCUUCUCAAAAGAUCCUUGUAUCUCUCACAUGCAUCGCAGAGUGUUUCUAAAUCCAUCUGCACAAAAGAAGAGAUAUCAUUAAGUAAUUU